GACGAACGCUGGCGGCGUGCUUAACACAUGCAAGUCGAACGGAAAGGCCCUGCUUUUGUGGGGUGCUCGAGUGGCGAACGGGUGAGUAACACGUGAGUAACCUGCCCUUGACUUUGGGAUAACUUCAGGAAACUGGGGCUAAUACCGGAUAGGAGCUCCUGCUGCAUGGUGGGGGUUGGAAAGUUUCGGCGGUUGGGGAUGGACUCGCGGCUUAUCAGCUUGUUGGUGGGGUAGUGGCUUACCAAGGCUUUGACGGGUAGCCGGCCUGAGAGGGUGACCGGCCACAUUGGGACUGAAAUACAGCCCAGACUCCUACGGGAGGCAGCAGUGGGGAAUAUUGCACAAUGGGCGGAAGCCUGAUGCAGCAACGCCGCGUGCGGGAUGACGGCCUUCGGGUUGUAAACCGCUUUCGCCUGUGACGAAGCGUGAGUGACGGUAAUGGGUAAAGAAGCACCGGCUAACUACAUG
rnacentral:rRNA from 1 species